rnacentral:rRNA from 1 species
UGGGGAAUAUUGCACAAUGGGCGCAAGCCUGAUGCAGCCAUGCCGCGUGUGUGAAGAAGGCCUUCGGGUUGUAAAGCACUUUCAGCGGGGAGGAAGGCAUUAAGGUUAAUAACCUUAGUGAUUGACGUUACCCGCAGAAGAAGCACCGGCUAACUCCGUGCCAGCAGCCGCGGUAAUACGGAGGGUGCAAGCGUUAAUCGGAAUUACUGGGCGUAAAGCGCACGCAGGCGGUCUGUCAAGUCGGAUGUGAAAUCCCCGGGCUCAACCUGGGAACUGCAUUCGAAACUGGCAGGCUAGAGUCUUGUAGAGGGGGGUAGAAUUCCAGGUGUAGCGGUGAAAUGCGUAGAGAUCUGGAGGAAUACCGGUGGCGAAGGCGGCCCCCUGGACAAAGACUGACGCUCAGGUGCGAAAGCGUGGGGAGCAAACA